GAUGAACGCUGGCGGCGUGCCUAAUACAUGCAAGUCGAGCGAACAGAUAAGGAGCUUGCUCCUUUGACGUUAGCGGCGGACGGGUGAGUAACACGUGGGUAACCUACCUAUAAGACUGGGAUAACUUCGGGAAACCGGAGCUAAUACCGGAUAACAUUUGGAACCGCAUGGUUCUAAAGUGAAAGAUGGUUUUGCUAUCACUUAUAGAUGGACCCGCGCCGUAUUAGCUAGUUGGUAAGGUAACGGCUUACCAAGGCAACGAUACGUAGCCGACCUGAGAGGGUGAUCGGCCACACGGGAACUUGGACACGGUCCAGACUCCUACGGUAGGCAGCAGUAGGGAAUCUUCCGCAAUGGGCGAAAGCCUUACGGAGCAACGCCGCGUGAGUGAUGAAGGGGUUCGGCUCGAAAAACUCUGUUAUUAGGGAAGAACAAACGUGUAAUUAACUGUGCACGUCUUGACGGUACCUAAUCAGAGAGCCACGGCUAACUACGUG
rnacentral:rRNA from 1 species